AAGAAGCUGGUGAAGUAGAAGCUAAGGCAUUUAAUACUAUUUUUAAUAUUGUACAGAUGUUCAAAUAAAUAAAAAUCAAUUGCAAGAUACUCAAAAGAGUUGACAGAUCCAGGAUGUUUUUUGCUUACUUGAAAGAAAUACAUGGGCUGGGCAUUUAAUUGAGUGGCACUGCGCCUGCCUUGCAAGUGCAAGAUUCUGAGUUUGAUCCCCGGUACUGCAAAGAAAAUGAAAAGAAACACAUAAUGAAAAGAAGAAACAAACUGUUAUGUCAAAAUUUGGUAUCUUUCUAAAGAACAUCAUGCCUUCUACACCAUCAAGACGUGGCAAUCCCCAGUACCUUCUACCUUCUAUUCUCAAGCCUCACCAGAAGACAAACUGAUGACCUUUUGGUAGCAUCACCAUUAUCCAGCAACUAAUUUUAGUAAAAUAUUUCAAAUAUCCUUCAGUACAACGUGCUUUCAGCUGUGUUGUCAAUGUACCUCCACUUUUCAACAAAUGUCUUCUUGAAGCCCUGUGUGACUCAAUGGAAACUUGGAAAGUACUCUAAUCAUAAAAAUAAUAUGUUCACUGCCAAUUCCAAGGGCCGUUAUUCUGGAUUAUCAUGCCUGCCAAUGAAUUGAUUUGGGAGUCCCCCAUUUUGAUUCUGCUGUGGAUUAGGCCUUUGAGAAGCCCUGUGUGAUGGUGUGGGCUGAGGCCCUGCAGGCUAGAAAGGCAAACCAGUCAGUAGUAUCAGGGUGAACUGCUCGCCACCUCAGAAGGAUAAUGGCCUGUGUCAUUCACCUGCCAUUUGUUUCAUCUCCUCGAGUACUAAUGCCAUAUCAGAGGAUGCAGCAUCGGCCUCAGUUGCUAACAAGUUACCCUCAGGAAUAAGAAGUAAGUGUAGAUUGUCAUUGGAAAGUGGGAAUUCACACUGUUUGGGUCACAUAUAGCCUCCAUCUCCACAAAGCC
rnacentral:lncRNA from 1 species